CUACUGACGAUGACGUGCCUAUUUAUACACCGCGGUAAUGUUUACUGGCGCAGUCCAAGUGGAGCAGUGUGUUGCUGCUGCUGUUCACUGUGCCGCAGGACAGAGUUCGGGUGACGCGCCACAACACACUUUGGAGUGGCAGGAAGAAGUCAGCAGGACAGCUCAGGAAGAUUCCCAGCAUGCUCGGCGGACACUCUUAUCCAGGGCCACGUGUACCACGAUGUUUUGUAAAUUCAAGGUAAACACCCACAAUGCACCGCAGCGUCCCUCGAGGAAAUCAUUCUCCCUCAGGAGCGGUUGGGUACAUGUGCCCGGAUGCUGGCCUCCUUCCAGGACGGUUGGCGGUCUCCCCGGUGAGCUGGGGCACCUGAUCCUCCGCUCUGUGCCGACGGGAGAAACGCACGGAGGAUGUGCCUCCAUAUGCAGAUUCAUCUGGACGCCGCGUCUCCUACGGAUCCCGGCGAAGGUCGCGCAUCUUUUAAUUGAUUCCUCCUCUGC